rnacentral:rRNA from 1 species
GUGCCAGCAGCCGCGGUAAGACAGAGGGUGCAAACGUUGCUCGGAAUUACUGGGCGUAAAGCGCGUGUAGGCGGACCUGCAAGUCGGACGUGAAAGCCCUGAGCUCAACUCAGGAACUGCAUCCGAAACUGCGGGUCUGGAGUGGUGGAGAGGGAAGCAGAAUUCCUGGUGUAGAGGUGAAAUUCGUAGAUAUCAGGAGGAACACCGGUGGCGAAGGCGGCUUCCUGGACACUUACUGACGCUGAGACGCGAAAGCGUGGGGAGCAAACAGGAUUAGAUACCCCUGUAGUCC